AAAGGCUGUCUGUAGGUGGACCAUAACUCCCAUCUGCCAAAGACAGCACAGUCAGUGGGGAAGGAUGAUGGGAUUUUCAGGUCAAGUAUUUGGGGAUGGUAGGAGUUGCUGACCUUUGGAAAGUUGUAUGCAGUUACAUAUAAGGUAAGAACCAGAAAAUUAGCAUUGGCUAUUAUUCCCAGAAGUCUUUGGGGAAGCCAGUAGGUGCUCUGUACAAUAUUUUCGUAGCCAUUCUCUUUGCGUAUAAUCAAACAGGGGCCUUCCUUUAUUGUUCUCUUUGCUGUUACGUCAGUUCAGUUGCUGAAGUGAGGAAAGCCCACAAGACGUGGGUUUAAUUUACAGUUAUGUUUUGGGUGACCUUAACUCAAGUGCUUUCCAGCUACAGCCAGGCACUGCAUUUAUGAAAUAUAUCCGCUCAGCCACCAUAUUUUCAGCCGCUGCUGCUUUUCCAGGUUGUGUGAAAAAGGAUGAAUUCUUGCAUUAGUCCGGCUUGUCUGCCAUUAAGGUCCCUUUUUUCACAGGGCAAAGAGGGACUCCUGAAGCCACUGAAGGAAGGAAAUCAUUACAGAGAUCUACAGAAGUAGGUCAUGUGCUACAGCUGCUCAUAGUUUGAGAGGA
rnacentral:lncRNA from 1 species